rnacentral:rRNA from 1 species
GGCCGCGGGAAUUCGAUUCAGGCCUAACACAUGCAAGUCGAGCGGGGUUUUCGGACCUAGCGGCGGACGGGUGAGUAAUGCGUAGGAAGCUACCCGAUAGAGGGGGAUACCAGUUGGAAACGACUGUUAAUACCGCAUAAUGUCUACGGACCAAAGUGUGGGACCUUCGGGCCACAUGCUAUCGGAUGCGCCUACGUGGGAUUAGCUAGUUGGUGAGGUAAUGGCUCACCAAGGCGACGAUCCCUAGCUGGUUUGAGAGGAUGAUCAGCCACAC